GUCUGUGGGAAUUAUUUCCUCCCAGAGGUAUUAGAUUAUAUUUUUCCAAGUCAACUCUUCCUGGCUGCCCUUCAAGGUUCUAAAGAUUCUCUACUAUUGUGAUGUAACUAGUAAGAGGCAAAACCAUGAGAAUCAGAGAGAACUGCGCUUCAUGAUACUACGCAAUCCCCAGGAGAAGCACGUUGAAAGCUGAAAAGAAGAUUGAGAUGUGUUGGCGGGCUUCUCAAGAUCCCUAUCGGUGGCAGAAGGCUGACAUGAGUUGUCCGUAGUCCAGGUUUCCCAAUGUAGCAGAUGACUCUAGCAGCUCUAGCUUCACCAUCUUCGUAAGUUCAAGUGAAAAGGAAAAGAGAAUCUCUUUUUCUUCAACAAUUUCAAACUAAAAUCUUGAGUCUGACUUUUCCUGGCCAGAAUUAAGUUUGUACUUAUCCCUGAAAAACCAUCAAUGCUACGUUCGUGAAUUUACCAAUUGAGGCAGAAUUUAGGUCACAUGACUCUCCAAAGCCUCUUCAAAGCCACAUGACUCAGAGUGAGGCAGAGGUAUUUGGGAUAUUUUCAACAGGAGAAAGGUAAAUGAAUGGAGAGUGCCAAAACAACUUAUGUCAAUUAUACAAUCAUAAGUACAACCAAAAUAAAGUAUGGAAAUCAGUAUUUUCACCUAUCUUAA